rnacentral:rRNA from 1 species
CGCUAUGCAUGCAGUCGAACGGGCGAAGGGGCUUCGGCCCCCUAGCUAGUGGCAGACGGCUGAGUAACACGUAAGUGAUCUGCCCCAGAGAGGGGGAUAAGCCGGAGAAAUCCGGUCUAAUACCCCGUACGCUCUCUAAGUUACGGCGUAGAGAGGAAAGGCUCCGGUGCUCUGGGAGGAGCUUGCGGCCUAUCAUGGUUGUUGGUGGGGUAAAAGCCUACCAAGCCGGAGACGGGUACCCGGUGUGAGAGCACGAACGGGCAGAGGGGGACUGAGACACGGCCCCCACUCCUACGGGAGGCAGCAGCAGGGAAUCUUGCGCAAUGGGCGAAAGCCUGACGCAGCGACACCGCGAGGAGGAAGAAGGCUUUCGGGUCGUAAACUCCUUUUCUCGGGGAAGAGAACGGACGGUACCCGAGGAAUAAGCAUCGGCUAACUACGUGCCAGCAGCCGCGGUAAUACGUAGGAUGCGAGCGUUGUCCGGAUUUACUGGGCGUAAAGGGCGAGUAGGCGGCCCGCUAAGUCUCAUGUGAAAUCUCCCGGCUCAACUGGGAGGGGUCAUGAGAAACUGGCAGGCUUGAGGUCAGCAGAGGAAAGCGGAAUUCCCGGAGUAGCGGUGAUAUGCGUAGAUACCGGGAGGAACACCAGAGGCGAAGGCGGCUUUCUGGGCUGCACCUGACGCUGAGGCGCGAAAGCGUGGGGAGCGAACCGGAUUAGAUACCCGGGUAGUCCACGCCCUAAAUGGUGGAUACUAGACAUGGGGGGUAUCGACCCCCUCUGUGUCGCAGCUAACGCGUUAAGUAUCCCGCCUGGGGAGUACGGCCGCAAGGCUAAAACUCAAAGGAAUUGACGGGGGCCCGCACAAGCAGCGGAGCGUGUUGUUCAAUUCGAUGCCAAGCGAAGAACCUUACCAGGCUUGACAUGUUUCCGACAGUCCCCGAAGGGGAUCUUCCUUCGGGACGGAUUCC